ensembl:lincRNA Gm42595 predicted gene 42595
AAUAGAGCAAUUAACAUGGAGAAGCAGCACCCUAGAGAAGUAGAUAAUAGAAGCUUGGGUAUAUGCCCAAGGAUGUAGCUGCAUCAUGGGGUAACUUUAUUCUCAACUUUUUGAGGAACUGCCAUGCUGACUUACAGUGGUUGUAUCAAUUUGUACUCAAACUGGUGAAGGAUGAUCCCCUUUCUCUACAGUCAUGCCAGGUUCUACUGUCUAUUUUUAAAAACCUUGUCCAUUCUGAGUGGUGUAAGAUAUUUGAAGUCUCAAAGUUGUUUCCCAUUUCCCUGAUGGCUCAGGGUGGUCAACAUGUUUUUCAGACAUUUCAUUAAAAAAAAUAUUUUUGAGGUAGGUUUUGUUUUGUUUUCUUUUUUGGAUAUAGGGUUCUCUCAUUGGCAGUUCUGGAGUCCUCUGUGUAGACCCAGCAGACCAUGACCUCACAGAGAUCUACCUGCCUCUGCCCACCAAGAGCUGGGAUUAAGGGCUAGAGCCAUCAUGUCCUGCCCAGCCCAGCUUACUUAUGUGUCUGAGUCUUCUGUCUGCUCUUAACAGCUGAGCUAUCUCUCCAGCCCACUGUAUGUCUUGAGAAGUUUUAGUUCCUUGCUGUAUUUUUGUUUUUCGAGACAGGGUUUCUCUGUGUGGCCCUGGCUGUCCUGGAACUCACUCUGUAGACCAGGCUGGCCUCGAACUCAGAAGUCCUCCUGUCUCUGACUCCCAAGUGCUGGGAUUAAAGGCGUGUGCCACCACUGCCCAGCCUUUGCUGUAUUUUAAAGAUUGGCUUAUUUGCUUGCUUGUUUUUUAGGUUUAGGGUUUUUUGUUUUGUUUUGAUUUUUAAAAGACUUUUAAUGCUUAUGUGUGUGGUAUGUGAGCAUAGGUUCUCUCUAAUGGCUGUGUGUUCUAACUGCUGUUAGCUCCCCAGUCCAUGUUUUGAGAGUUUUUUUUAGUUCUUUGUGUCUUCUAGACACUAAUUCUCUACCAGAUGUGUAGCUGGUAAAGACCUUUUCUCCUUCUGUAGUUGUUUCUUCACAUGAAUGAUACUGUCCCUUUGUUGUACAGAAACCUUAAGUUUUAUGAGGUCCCAUGGUUUUACUGCCUGCACUACUGGGGUCCUGUCCAGAAAGUCCUUCUGUGUGCUUUUAAGUUUAUUCUGCCCCACCCCCGACCUCUAUCAGAUUCAGGGUAUCAUGCCUUACACUGAGGUCCUUUGAUCCAUUUGGAGUUGAGGUCUGGCAGGGUGAGAGAUAAGAUUCCAGUUUACUCCACAUCCUGCUUUUCAGUUUGACCAGCAUCAUUUAUUAAAGAUGUCUUUCCUCUGGUAUCUUUGUUCCCUUUAUCAAAACUCAGAUGGUGGUGGGGUGUGUGGACUUACCUGGGUCCUCAGUUCUACUGCAUUGGGUAAUGUGCCUUUUUAUGCCAGUGCCAUGCUGGUUUUACUACUAUAGCUCCAUAGUGUGACUUUAAAAUUGGGGGUGGAGAUACCCUCAGCAGCUCUUUCACUGUUCAGGAUUGAAUUAUUGAUUAGAAUUAUUUAUCAGUUAAUGGUGUUACUGAUGUGUGUGUGUAGUCUGUAUUUUCUGUAUAAAAUUGAAUCCAUAUAUAAUUUAUGUAUAAAA